UACGAAGGGGGCUAGCGUUGCUCGGAAUCACUGGGCGUAAAGGGUGCGUAGGCGGGUCUUUUAAGUUCAGGGGUGAAAUCCUGGAGCUCAACUCCAGAACUGCCUUUGAUACUGAGGAUCUUGAGUUCGGGAGAGGUGAGGUGGAACUGCGAGUGUAGAGGUGAAAUUCGUAGAUAUUCGCAAGAACACCAGUGGCGAAGG
rnacentral:rRNA from 1 species